rnacentral:lncRNA from 1 species
AUCCGGGCUCUACUGGUGAAAAUAACUGCAGACGGCUGGUAAAAAGUUGGAAUAGCUUUCGUUAAGCGUCGGAUGUGUAGAGUGCUGAGUUAGGGGCUGGACUAGAGACGUUGGGACAUCUCCCGGGAACAGCAGCCUGGAGGGGAAAAAUCUCCUGACCUAAGUGGUCAUUCGGCCUUGGCGCUUGGACACGGGAGUGCGGCGACAGCCAUAUGUCCAUCCAUCUUGGCACUUUUCCGUCCUCUGCCUUUGAAGAUGGGUGUGCCCGGCAGGCUGUGAAAGAUAAACAUUAGAGGGUUGUUUAGAAGACUUUUUUGACCUGAGCCCAUGAGGUGCAUACCCUUUGUUUGGCGGAGAAACCAGUGGCUUCUGAAGAUCAGGGACGGGCCACAAGUGCGAGGCAUUGCAGACAUUUCGAACCCAGACUUCCAGCCUGGAGACAUCCACACGCUUCCAGUUUCUUGCACUGGUACUUCAUUCUGUCAUUAUGAUUGCCACCACUCGUAACUGAGAGUUGCGUGCCCUCAAGUUUUGAGUGUCUGCAGGGUACCUUUGAGCUUUCUUAGCUGUGUAGUGAGUGGGGGGAAUGGAGAAAAUGAAGGACAGAUGACUGAUUUGUAGUUUUUCAUUUGGACACUGUCCUUGCCGCACAAGCACAGCAGCUUGAACCUCUUUGAACAAGAGUCGAGAGUUCUUUUACAGCUAAUUACCCACUAGUUAAACUUGAUCAUACUGUGCUGUUUUCUUCCUCUCCAUUGUCAAUGUAAUACGGCUCCUGACAAAAGUUAAAUUCGCUGGGCGUGGUGGCUCACCCCUGUACUCCCAGCACUUUGGGGGCUGAGGCGGGUGGAUCACCUGAAGUCAGGAAUUCAAGACCAGCCUGGCCAACAUGGUGAAACCCCGUCUCUACUAAAAAUACAAAAGUUAGCUGCGUGUGGUGGCGGGCGCCUGUAAUCCCAGCUACUCAGGAGGCUGAGGCAGGAGAAUCGUUUGAACCCGGGGGGGCGGAGGUUGCAGUGAGCUGAGAUCGCGCCACUGCACUUCAGCCUGGGUGACAGAGUGAAACUCCGUCUCAAAAAAAAAAAAAAAAGCCGGGCGCUGUGGCUCACACCUAUAAUCCCAGCACUUUGGGAAGCCGAGGGGGGAGGAUCUCGAGGUCAGGAGUUGGAGACCAGCCUGACCAACAUGGAGAAACCUCGUCUCUACUAAAAAUACAAAAUUAGCCAGGCGUGGUGGUGGGCACCUGUAAUCCCAGCUACUGGGGAGGCCGAGGCAGGAGAAUCCUUUGAUCCCGGGAAGCAGAGGUUGCAGUGAGCCGAGAUCACACCAGAGAUGCACGCCAGCCUGGGCAACAGAGCAAGAUUCCUUCUCGAAAAACAAACAAACAAACAAAAAAACAGUUCAAAAGACACAGAAUGGACUGGUGGCGAUGGCCCACGCCUGUAAUCCCAGCACUUUGGGAAGCCAAAGCGGAAGGAUCGCUUGAAGUCAGGAGAACAGCCUGGGCAGCAUAGUGAGACCUCGUUUCUACUUAAAACAAAAACAAACAAACAAACAAAAAAACAACAGGUGUGGUGACUUAGACCUGUGGUCCCAGCUACUCAGGAGGCUGAGAUGGGAGGAUCACUUGGGCCCCAGCCGUUGAGGACUGCAGUGACCUAUGAUCGCACCACUGCUCUCCAUCCUGGGUGACAGAGUGAGACCCUGUCUCAAAAAAAAAAAAAAGCACAGGAUGUAAAAUCAGGCAUUAGGUUUGCUAUUCCUACAUGUAAACUUAUGGAACAUUUUCUUGUUUCCUUUCAUUUUGUUUUACAAAAAGGAUGAUCCCAUUGUUAACUUUUUCUCUUUACCACUUAGUGGAUGCCUUCCACUGUCUCACCACAAUCUUAUCCUUUUAAGCAGUUGCCUAUCAGGUGUCUCCACUGCUCACAUUUGGGACAAAAAUAAUGCAAUGUGCAGUCGCUCACGCCUGUAAUCCCACCACUUUGGGAGGCCAAAGUGAGCAGAUCACCUGAGGUCAGUAGUUUGAGACCAGCCUGGCCAACAUGGUAAAACCCCAUCUCUACUAAAAAUACAAAAAAGACUGUCUCAAAAUUUUUUUUUAUAAAAAUAAUAAUGCAAUGGUUAUCCAACCGUGAGAAUUCGGAGGAGACCUUGUUAAAACACAUUUCUGGGUGUCUCUAGGAUUGUUUUGCAUUUGUAACAAGUUCCCAGGUAAAGUUGCUCUUGCUUAUUGAGGAGGACACUUUGAGAACCACCACCAUAAAGGGUCAUAAAACGCAAUUAAAAAAAAAAUUCACAGUAAAACAAAAAAGGGUGGGUGUAAGGCCCUGCAUGGUGGCUGAUGCCUAUAAUCCUAGCACUUUGGGAAGGCGAGGCAGGCAGAUCACUUGAGGCCAGGAGUUUGAGGCCAGCAUGGCCAACAUCGCGAAACCCCAUCUCUACUAAAAAUACAAAAAUUAAUCAGGCACAGGGGCACACGCUUGUAAUCCCAGCUACUCGGGAGGCUGAGACAGGAAAAUCGCUUGAACCAGGGAGGCUGAGGUUGCAGUGAGCCAAGAUAGCACCACUGCAUUCCAGCCUGGGUGACAGAGUGAGACCCUGUCUCGGGGGGUGGGGGGAAAGGGUGGGUGUGGGUAGGGAGCUAUCCAUUAAAAAGUCAAUAAUAAAGAUAGAAGAGAUGAUAGAAUUAGAAAACUACCAUCUUACCACUCCCAGGGAGAUAAAUGUCAGGAAAGUAUAAUUAAUGAGUGCUAAAACUAGAGACCAGCACUUCAGAGGAAUGUUAUAGCUAGUGGUUACCACCUUAACCAGAUGGUCAAAAUUGGUAUCAAAAAUGGUAUAACAAUCUGAUGUCUGAUUCUAAUAUAAUGCAUGAGUUGUACACAUCACCUAUAUUGCCAAAUGUGUAACCUGAACUUAACUGUGCUGAAAACAUGAGACAAGAAAUCCAGACUGAGGAACAUUCUACAAGACAAUUCAUGUCUAUGUCCUGAAACACAGAAAACAGGGCAGUUGUUCUAUAUAGAAAAACAAACCAUGAUUGAAUCUUGGAUUGGAAAAGGAAAAAAAAUAAAAGCCCUAAUACAUUUUUGGAACAACUGAGGAAAUUUGAAUAUGUUCUGCAUAUUAGAUAUUAAGUUACCAAUUUUCUUAGUGUGAUAGGAUUGUGGCAGGGUUUUUUUUUUUUUUUUGAUUUUUAGAGUCAUGGUCUCACUCAGGUUGAACCACAGGCCACCAUGCCUGGCUAAUUUUUGUAGAGACAGUGUCUUGCGCUGUUGCCCAGGCUGGUCUUAAACUCCUGGCCUCAAUUGAUCCUCCUACCCUGGCCUCCCAAAACACUGGGAUUACACCGCUGGUGUGGUGGCUCAUGCCAGUAAUCCCAGCACUUUGGGAGGCUGAGGCAAGAGGAUCUGUGGAGCCCAGGAGUUCGAGACCAGCCUGGCCAAGAUUUAAAACAAAAACAAUCAUGGGAUUACAGAUGUGAGCCACUGUGCUAGCAGAAAGAUGCCUUUUUAACAUGCCACAUCUUCAGUAACAUUAAAAAUCACCAGGCACACUUGGUUUAUCAACCAAGGAAAGCACAUACCUUUCCUUCUUUUCUUUACUUUCCUUCCUUUCCUUACUGUUCUGAGGCUUUUUAAUAAAAUUUCACUCCUGCUCUGAAACUUGCCUGGGUUUCUUCUUCUGCCUUAUGCCCCUCAGUCAAAUCCUUUCUUCUGAGGAGGCAAGAAUUGAAAAUUCUUAAAAAAACACCCAACAUCAAGCUGACAAAAAAUAAAUAAAUAAAAUCUCAAAAGAUAUUGACUGGCCAGGUGCGGUGACUCACACCUUUAAUCCCAGCACUUUAGGAGGCCGCGGUGGGCAGAUCACGAGGUCAGGAGUUCGAGACCAGCCUGACCAACAUGGUGAAACCGCAUCUCUACUAAAAAUACAAAAAUUAGCCAGGCGUAGUGGCAUGCGCCUGUAAUCCCAGCUACUCAGGAGGCUGAGGCGGGAGAAUCACUUGAAUCUGGGAGGUGGAGGUUGCAGUGAGCCAAGAUUGCGCCACUGCACUCCAGCCUGGGUGACAGAGACACCAUCUCAAAAAAAAAAAAAAAAAAAAAAAAGAAAAGAAAAGAAAAAGAAAAAGAUAUUGACUGGCCAGGUGCGGUGGCUCAUGCCUGUAAUCCCAACAGUUUGGGAGGCCGAGGCUGGCAGAUCACUUGAGGUCAGGAGUUCGAGACCAGCCUGGCCAACAUGGUGAAACCCCCUCUCUACUAAAAAUACGAAAAUCAGCUGGGCAUGGUGGUGAACACCUGUAAUCCCAGCUACUCGGGAGGCUGAGGCAGGAGAAUUGCUUGAACCAGGGAGGCAGAGGUUGCAAUGAGUCGAAAUUGUGCCAGUGCACUACAGCCUGGGCAACAGAGGGAGACUGUCUCAAACAAACAAACAAAAGUACACUCCACAGGGUGGUAGCAGGCCA